UGGGGAAUCUUAGACAAUGGGGGAAACCCUGAUCUAGCCAUGCCGCGUGAGCGAUGAAGGCCUUAGGGUUGUAAAGCUCUUUCACCGGGGAAGAUAAUGACGGUACCCGGAGAAGAAGCCCCGGCUAACUCCGUGCCAGCAGCCGCGGUAAUACGGAGGGGGCUAGCGUUGUUCGGAAUUACUGGGCGUAAAGCGCACGUAGGCGGAUUGGAAAGUCAGAGGUGAAAUCCCAGGGCUCAACCCUGGAACUGCCUUUGAAACUCCCAGUCUUGAGGUCGAGAGAGGUGAGUGGAAUUCCGAGUGUAGAGGUGAAAUUCGUAGAUAUUCGGAGGAACACCAGUGGCGAAGGCGGCUCACUGGCUCGAUACUGACGCUGAGGUGCGAAAGCGUGGGGAGCAAACAGG
rnacentral:rRNA from 2 species